UUCAUUAAUGAGCUUUAUCAUAUUCCUUUGUUAAUUGACAGUGACUGUUGAAAACAGACAAGAGAUUUUCUUUCAAAAUUUCUAUUUGAUUAAAGUGACAGCCGGGAAUCCGAAUAACGAAGGGAUGGAAGUGUGUGGCGAAGCAUUUGUCUUUCAAUUGUUUUAAUCAUUAUUAAAUGAAUUUCUUAACUUUGUGGGGAUUUUGGGAAAUUCUAAGAAGAAUUCUUGAUGGGUAUCAAUUUCAAA